ACGAACGCUGGCGGCGUGCCUAAUACAUGCCAGUCGAGCGGACUGAUUAAGAGCUUGCUCUUAUGACGUUAGCGGCGGACGGGUGAGUAACACGUGGGCAACCUGCCCUGUAGAUCGGGAUAACACCGAGAAAUCGGUGCUAAUACCGGGUAAUAUCUGAGAUCACAUGAUCUUAGGUUAAAAGAUGGCUCCGGCUAUCACUACAGGAUGGGCCCGCGGCGCAUUAGCUAGUUGGUAAGGUAAUGGCUUACCAAGGCGACGAUGCGUAGCCGACCUGAGAGGGUGAUCGGCCACACUGGGACUGAGACACGGCCCAGACUCCUACGGGAGGCAGCAGUAGGGAAUCUUCCGCAAUGGACGAAAGUCUGACGGAGCAACGCCGCGUGAGUGAUGAAGGGGUUCGGCUCGUAAAGCUCUGUUGUUAGGGAAGAAACAGUACCGAACGAACUAGGUCGGUACCUUGACGGUACCUAACCAGAAAGCCACGGCUAACUACGUG
rnacentral:rRNA from 1 species